rfam:Triticum aestivum genome assembly, contig: Triticum_aestivum_CS42_TGACv1_scaffold_404536_5BL
UGUGUACUCCCUCCGUUCCAAAAUACUUGACUUCCAUUUGUCCAAAAAUGGAUGUACCUAUAUACUAAAACUUGUCUAGAUACAUCUGUAUUUUGACAAAUAGAAGGCAUGUAUUGUGGAACGGAGGGAGUAGAAU